GAUGAACGCUAGCGGUGUGCUUAAUGCAUGCAAGUCGAACGAUUCUCUUGGAUUCGUCUGAGGGGAUAGUGGCGGACGGGUGAGUAACGCGUAGGUGACCUACCUCGGAGUGGGGAAUAACUAUUGGAAACGAUAGCUAAUACCUCAGAUGUUAAUGGUACUAGAAGCCAUUAACUGAAGCUACGGUGCUCUGAGAUGGGCCUGCGUCCCAUCAGCUAGUUGGUGAGGUAAUGGCUCACCAAGGCAUAGACGGGUAGGGGCUGAGAGCGUGACCCCCCACACUGGUACUGAAACACGGACCAGAUACCUACGGGUAGCAGCAGCAAGGAAUAUUGCGCAAUGGGCGAAAGCCUGACGCAGCAACACCGCGUGAAGGACGAAGGUCUUCGGAUCGUAAACUUCUUUUC
rnacentral:rRNA from 1 species